UGGGGGAUAUUGCACAAUGGGCGAAAGCCAGAUGCAGCGACGCCGCGUGGGGGAUGAAGGCUUUCGGGUUGUAAACCUCUUUCGCUAUCGAACAAGGCCCGCUUAGGGUGGGUUGAGGGUAGGUGGAGAAGAAGCGCCGGCUAACUACGUGCCAGCAGCCGCGGUAAUACGUAGGGCGCGAGCGUUGUCCGGAAUUAUUGGGCGUAAAGGGCUUGUAGGCGGCUUGUUGCGCCUGCUGUGAAAACGCGGGGCUUAACUUCGCGCGUGCAGUGGGUACGGGCAGGCUUGAGUGUGGUAGGGGGGACUGGAAUUCCAGGUGUAGCGGUGGAAUGCGCUGAUAUCUGGAGGAACACCGAUGGCGAAGGCAGGUCACUGGGCCAUUACUGACGCUGAGGAGCGAAAGCAUGGGUAGCGAACAGG
rnacentral:rRNA from 1 species